UCUCUUGGAGUUAUACUAAUUGAA
rnacentral:snRNA from 1 species